rnacentral:rRNA from 1 species
GGCUCAGGACGAACGCUGGCGGCGUGCCUAACACAUGCAAGUCGAGCGGGGACAUUGCGACGGAGACGAAGUACUCGUACGGAGUCAAAGAUGUAAUGUCUAGCGGCGGACGGGUGAGUAACGCGUGAGCAACCUGUCCCUUACAGGGGGAUAACACAGCGAAAGUUGUACUAAUACCGCAUAAGACCACAGAGUGACAUCGCUCAGGGGUCAAAGGAGCAAUCCGGUAAGGGGUGGGCUCGCGUCCGAUUAGAUAGUUGGUGAGGUAACGGCCCACCAAGUCGACGAUCGGUAGCCGACCUGAGAGGGUGAUCGGCCACAUUGGGACUGAGACACGGCCCAAACUCCUACGGGAGGCAGCAGUGGGGAAUAUUGGGCAAUGGGGGGAAACCCUGACCCAGCAACGCCGCGUGAGGGAAGAAGGUUUUCGGAUCGUAAACCUCUGUCCCAGGUGAAGAGGAAGAGACGGUAGCCUGGGAGGAAGCCCCGGCUAACUACGUGCCAGCAGCCGC